rnacentral:rRNA from 1 species
CCUACGGGAGGCAGCAGUGGGGAAUAUUGGGCAAUGGAGGAAACUCUGACCCAGCGACGCCGCGUGCGGGAUGAAGGCCUUCGGGUUGUAAACCGCUUUCAGUAGGGAAGAAGCGAAAGUGACGGUACCUACAAAAGAAGCACCGGCUAACUAUGUGCCAGCAGCCGCGGUAAUACAUAGGGUGCAAGCGUUGUCCGGAAUUAUUGGGCGUAAAGAGCUCGUAGGUCGUUUGUUACGUCGGAUGUGAAAACCUGAGGCUCAACCUCAGGCCUGCAUUCGAUACGGGCAAACUAGAGUUUGGUAGGGGAGACUGAAAUUCCUGGUGUAGCGGUGGAAUGCGCAGAUAUCAGGAGGAACACCAAUGGCGAAGGCAGGUCUCUGGGCCAAUACUGACACUGAGGAGCGAAAGUCUGGGGAGCGAACAGGAUUAGAUACCCUGGUAGUCCAGACCGUAAACGGUGGGCACUAGUUGUGGGAACCUUCCACGGUUUCUGCGACGCAGCUAACGCAUUAAGUGCCCCGCCUGGGGAGUACGAUCGCAAGAUUAAAACUCAAAGGAAUUGACGG